CGUCAAUGAUAUCUAAAUAUAAAUACAUUAUGAUAUACAUAAGAGGAUGAGCUAGGAGAUUAAGUUCGAUAGAAUUGCGAAACUUAAAGGUGUCAGUCUCAAACAAGAUGGGGAUGAUUAGUAAAUUAACAACGGUUUUAUUAAUAUUGGGUACUUUAGGAAUGGUAUGGGCUGUAGCAGAAAGUGAAUGUACAUUACUGACAUGUAAACGUGACCACGAGAGAUUAUAUCCAGGAGCAAGCAAUCAACAGAUGAAAUGCGAAUUGGUGUAUGAAUAUGCAGAGUGUAUCGAUAAACAGAAUGUUAACAGUGGAUCAGGUUGUAGUGAAACAGAGAUUAAAAACGCCAAUUCAACAGUGAAUGGUUUACAGGGUGUAUUAAAUUGUAAUUCUGCCUCCACAACAAGUACAUUACUGGCUUGGAUUUUAUGUUUGGUGACGACUACAUCACUACGAUUUAUAUACUAAAUAAAUUACACAAAGGUUAUUACUUCCCGUCAUUUCACAAUGUGUUAACCAAUUGUGAUUUUAACCCUUAACUUAACCACAGCCUUUGUUCAAAGCCGGACGUACACCUAAUAUGAGUAAAGUUAAACAAUGUUUCUUUGGCAUCGAAGCAAAGCGACCGGAUUAAGUCUUGUGGGGGCCCUAAGUAACGAAAGGAUUGUGGUGUCUUCAUACGAUACUAAAUAAAAACAACAUCAAACCGUAUUAAAACAAAGUUUAGAAGUAUGCUGAAAUUAAAUUAACUUUUUUCGGAUUUUCUGAUUUCAAAAUCUUGGACAAUAGCAUUCAUCUGCUGAUUGUUGGCACUGGAUUUCACACAAAUAUCCCGACUCACGACUGAGCUAGCAGAGAACCGCAAAUGUUGUUCUAAUGUUGAUAUAUUCGCAAGUUUAAAAUAUAUCAAUCCUUAACCUCUUGAAUACUAUGAUACUAAUAAAUUAUUAAUAUUAUUGUUA